rnacentral:rRNA from 1 species
ACGAACGCUUGCGGCGUGCCUAAAAAUGCAAGUCGAGCGGGCCUUUAGACUUCGGUCUUUAGGUUAGCGGCGAACGGUCGCGUAACACGUAGGCAACCUGCCCGAAAGACCGGGGACAACGCUCCGAAAGGGGCGCUAAUACCGGAUGUGGUUCUUAGGAGACCUCUUCUUCGAACUAAAUCACUUGUUGGCUUUCGGAGGGGCCUGCGGCUAUCAGCUAGAUGGUGGGGUGAUGCCUACCAUGGCGACGACGGGUAGCUGGUCUGAGAGGAUGGUCAGCCGGACUGGGACUGAGAUACGGCCCAGACUCCUACGGGGGGCAGCAAUUAGGAAUCUUGUGCAAUGGGCGACAGCCUGACACAGCGCGACGCCGCGGGAGGAGGACGGCCUUCGGGUUGUAAACUCCUUUUCUUAAGGAAGAAAUAAAUGACGGUACUUAAGGAAUAAGUCCCGGCUAACUCCGUGCCAGCAGCCGCGGUAAUACGGAGGGGACGAGCGUUGUCCGAAGUUACUGGGCGUAAAGCGCGCGUAGGUGGACCUUUAAGUCCGCUGUGAAAGCCCGGGGCUCAACCCCGGAGUGUCGGUGGAGACUGGAGGCCUUGAAGGUGCUAGGGAGAGAUGGAAUUACCGGUGUAGCGGGGAAAUGCGUAGAGAUCGGUGGGAACACCAGUGGCGAAGGCGGUCUCUUGGGGCAUUCUUGACGCUGAGGCGCGAAAGCUGGGGGAGCGAACGGGAUUAGAUACCCCGGUAGUCCCAGCCCUAAACGAUGGAUACUAGGUGUGGGAGGUAUCGACCCCUCCCGUGCCGCCGCUAACGCCAGUAAGUAUCCCGCCUGGGGAGUACGGCCGCAAGGUUGAAACUCAAAGGAAUUGACGGGGGGCCCGCACAAGCGGUGGAGCAUGUUGUUUAAUACGUCACUAACCGUAGAACCUUACCAGGGUUUGACAUCCGCUGCUAUGCUAUGAAAGUAGCCUUCCCCGCAAGGGGACAGCGAGACAGGUGUUGCAUGGCUGUCGUCAGCUAGUGUCGUGAGAUGUUGGGUUAAGUCCCGCAACGAGCGCAACCCUCAUCCCAUGUUGCCAGCGGGUAAAGCCGGGGACUCUUGGGAACUGCCGGGGUAACUCGGAGGAAGGUGAGGACGACGUCAAGUCAGCAUGGCCCUUACAUCCUGGGCUACAAACAUGCUACAAUGGACGGUACACAGAGGGACCCGAGCCCGCGAGGGGGAGGCAAUCCCAGAAAUCCGUUCUCAGUCGGAUCGCAGGCUGCAACUCGCCUGCGUGAAGCCGGAAUCGCUAGUAACCGCAGGUCAGCCAAACUGCGGUGAAUACGUUCCCGGGCCUUGUACACACCGCCCGUCACGUCACCUGAGUUGUCUGCAGCCGAAGCCGGUGGCCUAACUCGUCAGAGGGGGAAGCCGUCUACGCUGUGGGGAGCGAGGGGGACG